CCUACGGGUGGCAGCAGUGGGGAAUAUUGCACAAUGGGGGAAACCCUGAUGCAGCGACGCCGCGUGAGUGAUGAAGUAUUUCGGUAUGUAAAGCUCUAUCAGCAGGGAAGAUAAUGACGGUACCUGAAUAAGAAGCCCCGGCUAAAUACGUGCCAGCAGCCGCGGUAAGACGUAGGGAGCAAGCGUUAUCCGGAUUUACUGGGUGGAAGGGGAGCGCAGACGGCAGGACAAGUCUGAUGUGAAAGUCCGGGGCUCAACCCCGGGACUGCAUUGGAAACUGUCCAGCUAGAGUGCAGUAGAGGUAAGUGGAAUUCCUAGUGUAGAGGUGAAAUGCGUAGAUAUUAGGAGGAACACCAGUGGCGAAGGCGGCUUACUGGACUGUAACUGACGUUGAGGCUCGAAAGCGUGGGGAGCAAACAGGAUUAGAUACCCGAGUAGUC
rnacentral:rRNA from 1 species